rnacentral:tRNA from 1 species
ACCUGGGUGGCUCAGUUGGUUAAGCAUCUGACUUCGACUCAGGUCAUGAUCUCACGGUUCAUGGGUUCGAGUCCCACAUCGGGCU